GGAGAGGGUGUGGCUCAGUGGGCAGAGCACCUGCUUGGCACGCAGGUGGUUCCAGGUUCAAUCCCCGGGAUCUCCA